rfam:Ictidomys tridecemlineatus contig005429, whole genome shotgun sequence.
UGUGUUGUAGCUUAGUGGUAGAGCACUUGCGUAGCAUGUGUGAGGCAUUGGGUUUGAUUCUCAGCACCACAU